AAAAACAGUUAAAGCUGUUAUAAAAUGAACAGAUUGAAAAUAAAAUAAACUGAUUUAUUUUCAAAAGCAGUUAGAGAUUCUGUUAAGUGAGGAGACUUAGUCAACCAUUCUGGUGCUGAGAUAAAACUGAAAAACGUUUAAGUGUGAUAUGGCACCAGAGGCAAAAAAGAAUCUAUUCAUUUACAGAUGAACAGAUUUAUUUUUCAAAACGAAAACAGAGAAAGUUUAACUAUUUGAAACUCAGUCGUUUUGAAAAGAAGAAAACUUAGUCAAAAUACCUGAUGCACAAAAUCCAAUUUUUACAAGACUUUAGCCAAGGCAUCAG
rnacentral:lncRNA from 1 species